CCGCGGUAAUACGUAGGGGGCGAGCGUUGUCCGGAUUUAUUGGGCGUAAAGGGCGUGUAGGCGGCCUGGUAAGUCGGGGGUGAAAACUCAGGGCUCAACCCUGAGACUGCCUUUGAUACUGGGUGUCUAGAGUAUGGAAGAGGUAAGUGGAAUUGCGAGUGUAGAGGUGAAAUUCGUAGAUAUUCGCAGGAACACCAGUGGCGAAGGCGGCUUACUGGUCCAUUACUGACGCUGAGGUGCGAAAGCGUGGGGAGCAAACAGG
rnacentral:rRNA from 1 species